ACUGUUUACAUAUAAAUUCCUGAGAUGUAUUAUAACAUCAAUUUGGAGCUUUCUGUUUUUGUAGAACCUGCAUACACACACACACAAAGAGCACCAGUGUGCAUGGACACACAGGAUGAAUGGGAAAUAGUUUUGUUAUUGUACUUUUGAUGUAAAGUGACUUUCUAGACAUAAAAUGUCACUUUUUUCACCUUAUUACACUGUAACAUCAACUUUUACAUUUUAAUGUAAACAAUCAUAUUUCGUAAUAUUUUAGGUCAGAAACAUUUCAUAGUACUAUACUAUGUCUAAAUAUGUGAAAAGAAUCAAAUUGGAGUAGGUCGGUCAACUGAUUAUACGAGUUUGUUAGAAAAACCACUUUCCUUUGCUCCUAGCGCCUUCUCGUUCGCUGUAUAGCGUUUUGAGCGGAUAAGGAGCACAAGUGUGCAUGGAGACACAGGAUGAAUGGGAACAAGUUUUGUUAUUGCACUUUUGAUGAAAAGUGACUUUCUAGACAUAAAAUGUCACUUUUUUCACCUUAUCAUACUUUUUCAUCAACUUUUGCAUUUUAAUGUAAACAAUCAUAUUUCGUAAUAUUUUGGGUCAGAAACAUUUCAUAGUACUAUAUUAUGUCUAAAUAUGUGAAAAGAAUCAAAUUGGAGUAGGUCGGGCAACUGAUUAUAUGAGUUUGUUCGAAAAACCACUUUCCUUUGCUCCUAGCGCCUUCUCGUUCGCUGUAUAGCGUUUUGAGCGGAUAAAGAGCACAAGUGUGCAUGGAGACACAGGAUGAAUGGGAACAAGUUUUGUUAUUGCACUUUUGAUGAAAAGUGACUUUCUAGACAUAAAAU
ensembl:lncRNA